rnacentral:lncRNA from 1 species
CUUUUGUCGUUCGCGAGUCCUAGCAUUCUUUUUGUGAACGUCUGUGUACGUACGUCAGCACCACACUUCAGAACGGCGACAGUUCAGCCACGUUUAUCACCACUGGCCACUGCACCCCAGCACAGAACGGCUUGCCCUGUGCACGGAAGCUGGCUGUUUUUUAGCAUCUGUUUCAAGUGCCGUUGUGAAAAAUUUACUAGCUUUCAUAAUAAAGUGACAGGAUGCUGCCACACCGUGGCAAUUGCGAGUGGACCUACACAGUGACAGGCGAAUCUACAGCUGAUUAAUUCUUUUUAUGCUGAAUAAACGUGAUUUCAUAUACAUGCCAGUCUUUCUCUAUCUGAUGUGUGGUCUCUGAGCUAAGCGCAUCUUGCUCUUCAGGGUGCUGCUGCAGCUUUCUGUGAAUAUCCAAGGUACACACACUGCUGUUGUCUUCCGUGCUGGUGUGCUUUUCGCCUUUCAGGCACUGUUUUUUGUUCAUUCGAUAGUUUAUACGCCUGCAUCUGCCUCCGAUUCCACACUUCAUUUCGCAUUCCUAUCCCUGAGGGUUGGAUUAUUCUCAGUUUGCCCCCAAGUCCACACCACACUCAAGUGGAUGUCACCGAAGGCAGCCUGCACACCUCGCCUUGUCUUUGGUGCGAUGCCGAACACGAUCAGCCGUCUUGUAGAGGCAAUUGCGCACAAGUUUGUUCUCUUGUUGCAUCGUCCCGGUACUCUUCUCUGUCUUUUUCUCAGAAGCAUAUAGGAGACUGGUUUUCCUGAUUGACUGUACGAUGCUACCGAUUCGCUUACGAUUGUACGCACCAAUGGCAUCGUUUCUCUUAUAUAGAGCAGCUCCAACAGUUUUUUCUGUACACCUGUGGCUUUAUUAACUCCACUUUUCUUUCGUGGGAUGGGAGAAGUGAAACUCAUUGUGUGUGUUCCCGUGCUUAAGCCUGCGGUAACUAUAGAAACUGCCGCAGAGACUUCUUGACUCAUCAGCGCGAUCGGCUCUCUUUUGAAAGCGUGCAUUCACUGGCUCUCCGAAGAUGCAGGGAAGAAUAGUGUAUGCCAUUAUGGAUCCCCCGGAUACGCACAUCCCAAAGACGUGCUGAGGUGGUGUUCGCUGCCGUCCUACGGAAAUCUGGAUCCGGUUCUGACCACUUUGCUUGCAGCGUGGUCGCUAAAAAUGAGGCAUUCCAUCACUUUAAAAAGAGCCGGCGUCAAAGCCAGUACGAGCACACGCAGAUAGAAUGGGGUAAUAUGGUCAUACUCGCCGGUCAACAAUUUUUCAUGUCGUCGUUACCCCACUAAACUGUCCACAUGCAUCGUAACCCGGCGCAUGCGUUACAGAAUGUUAAGGCUACAGGUGUAGCUACUCGUGUGAAUUGGGCUGGGAUGUUGGUUCGACAUUACAAAUGAUGCCCGGGAACGAAGCGUCAUAGGGAAGCUUUUUUCAAUAUCGCAGUGACUCGCCUAGCUCUAUCUAACAUGCCGUCGUAUACUCUAAUUGACCCAGAUCCCUCUGGUCCCCCAGCUAAUCUUGGUUCCUGGCUUUGUCAGAGUUUGUCUUACUGUUAUAUUUUGUUCUCUCCCCAAACUUAGUCAAGUUACACAGAAGAAAGCAAGAGUUUCGUUACCUACUUUCUUUGGCUGCAGUAGCUAGCUUCAUGCAUAGCAGCAUUUCUUGUGACCUGUACCCCGACAGAGAGGCUAC